rnacentral:rRNA from 1 species
GACGAACGCUGGCGGCGUGCUUAACACAUGCAAGUCGAACGGAAAGGCCCUGCUUUUGUGGGGUGCUCGAGUGGCGAACGGGUGAGUAACACGUGAGUAACCUGCCCUUGACUUUGGGAUAACUUCAGGAAACUGGGGCUAAUACCGGAUAGGAGCUCCUGCUGCAUGGUGGGGGUUGGAAAGUUUCGGCGGUUGGGGAUGGACUCGCGGCUUAUCAGCUUGUUGGUGGGGUAGUGGCUUACCAAGGCUUUGACGGGUAGCCGGCCUGAGAGGGUGACCGGCCACAUUGGGACUGAGAUAUGGCCCAGACUCCUACGGGAGGCAGCAGUGGGGAAUAUUGCACAAUGGGCGGAAGCCUGAUGCAGCAACGCCGCGUGCGGGAUGACGGCCUUCGGGUUGUAAACCGCUUUCGCCUGUGACGAAGCGUGAGUGACGGUAAUGGGUAAAGAAGCACCGGCUAACUUCGUG